rnacentral:lncRNA from 1 species
ACUGUAGUUUAAAGGUUACUUAACUAAGAGUACUAGACAUAACUGCCCUCACAGCACUCCUGAUAUGUGACUUAUCACCAGAUCCUGCGAUUGCUGACAGCGGUGCACAGAACAGUCUGGAAUGUUGCUAGGUCAGAAAGCUCAAUUCUGUGAAAGUGGGACAUGAAAGAUGGGAGAUGGGGAGGCGAAAAAGACAACAAGGAUAAGGACAAAGUGUGUGAUGCUUUGAGAACAUAUAGGAAUGACACCAAGCCUAGUUCUUGAGAGAAGUAUCACUGAAGUGGCCUAAAGGAUAAAUGAACAUCAACUGGAGGAAACAGCAUGAGGCGGAGGCAGAAUGUAUCAAGGCAAACAUGUGGACAGGCAGAUGGAAAGGAUACUGCAGAGAAGACCAAGAAAGAGAAAUAGGAAGAAAAUGCAGAGUGGGUUGUCAUGGAAUCUUCAAGAAGG